rnacentral:rRNA from 1 species
GUCCGCACGAGCGCAACCCUUGUCCUUAGUUGCCAGCAUUCAGUUGGGCGACUCUAAGGAGACUGCCCGGUGUCAAACCGGAGGAAGGUGGGGAUGACGUCAAGUCCUCAUGGCCCUUAUGUCCAGGGCUACACACGUGCUACAAUGGCCGGUACAAAGGGGCGCAAGACCGCGAGGUGGAGCAAAUCCCAAAAAACCGGUCUCAGUUCGGAUUGGAGUCUGCAACUCGACUCCAUGAAGUUGAAAUCGCUAGUAAUCGCGUAUCAGCAUGACGCGGUGAAUACGUUCCCGGGCCUU